rnacentral:misc_RNA from 1 species
UCCGGUUCAUCACCGGCAGUCUCCCUAGAGUGCCCACCAUUACAUGUUGGCAACUAAGGACAAGGGUUGCGCUCGUUACGGGACUUAACCCAACAUCUCACAACACGAGCUGACGACAGCCAUGCAGCACCUGUCUCCUGGUUCCUUUCGGCACUUCCGCCUUUAAGCAGAAUUCCAGGGAUGUCAAGAGUAGGUAAGGUUUUUCGCGUAGCAUCGAAUUAAACCACAUGCUCCACCGCUUGUGCGGGCCCCCGUCAAUUCAUUUGAGUUUUAAUCUUGCGACCGUACUUCCCAGGCGGAGAACUUAUCGCGUUAGCUUCGAUACCAAACAGCCAAGCUGCCUGACAUCCAGUUCUCAUCGUUUACAGCGUGGACUAC